rnacentral:misc_RNA from 1 species
AACCAUAGAAACCUGCGGAGUACCUGCGGAAGGAUCAUUACACAAUACAAUAUGAAGGCUGUCCGCAGCUGGAGUAUUUUAUUACCCUUGUCUUUUGCGCACUUGUUGUUUCCUGGGCGGGUUCGCUCGCCACCAGGACCACCAAAUAAACCUUUUUUAUGCAGUUGCAAUCAGCGCCAGUACAAACAAUGUAAAUCAUUUACAACUUUCAACAACGGAUCUCAGAUCGGAAGAGCACAC